AACGAACGCUGGCGGCAUGCCUAACACAUGCAAGUCGAACGAUUGCCUUCGGGUGAUAGUGGCGCACGGGUGCGUAACGCGUGGGAAUCUGCCCUUAGGUUCGGAAUAACAGCUGGAAACGGCUGCUAAUACCGGAUGAUAUCGCGAGAUCAAAGAUUUAUCGCCUGAGGAUGAGCCCGCGUUGGAUUAGGUAGUUGGUGGGGUAAAGGCCUACCAAGCCGACGAUCCAUAGCUGGUCUGAGAGGAUGAUCAGCCACACUGGGACUGAGACACGGCCCAGACUCCUACGGGAGGCAGCAGUGGGGAAUAUUGGACAAUGGGCGCAAGCCUGAUCCAGCAAUGCCGCGUGAGUGAUGAAGGCCCUAGGGUUGUAAAGCUCUUUUACCCGGGAAGAGAAUGACUGUACCGGGAGAAUAAGCCCCGGCUAACUCCGUG
rnacentral:rRNA from 1 species